rnacentral:rRNA from 1 species
AUUGAACGCUGGCGGCAGGCCUAACACAUGCAAGUCGAGCGAGCGUCGGACGGGUGUGUAAUGUAUGGGGACUGCCCGAUAGAGGGGGAUAACUCCUGGAAACGGUAGCUAAUACCGCAUACUAUCGGAUAACCCAUAUGGGUUUAUCUAGUAGGUGGGGUAAUGGCUCACCUAGGCGACGAUCCCUAGCUGGUCUGAGAGGAUGAUCAGCCACACUGGGACUGAGACACGGCCCAGACUCCUACGGAGGCAGCAGUGGGGAAUAUGGCACAAUGGGCGCAAGCCUGAUGCAGCCAUGCCGCGUGGAUGAAGAAGGCCUUAGGGUUGUAAAGUACUUUCAGUCGGGAGGCGUUACCGACAGAAGAAGCACCGGCUAACUCCGUGCCAGCAGCCGCGGUAAUAC